rnacentral:rRNA from 1 species
UGGGGAAUUUUGGACAAUGGGGGAAACCCUGAUCCAGCCAUCCCGCGUGUGCGAUGAAGGCCUUCGGGUUGUAAAGCACUUUUGGCAGGAAAGAAACGUCAUGGGUUAAUACCCCGUGAAACUGACGGUACCUGCAGAAUAAGCACCGGCUAACUACGUGCCAGCAGCCGCGGUAAUACGUAGGGUGCAAGCGUUAAUCGGAAUUACUGGGCGUAAAGCGUGCGCAGGCGGUUCGGAAAGAAAGAUGUGAAAUCCCAGAGCUCAACUUUGGAACUGCAUUUUUAACUACCGGGCUAGAGUGUGUCAGAGGGAGGUGGAAUUCCGCGUGUAGCAGUGAAAUGCGUAGAUAUGCGGAGGAAAACCGAUGGCGAAGGCAGACUCCUGGGAUAACACUGACGCUAAUGCACGAAAGCGUGGGGAGCAAACAGG